AUUGAACGCUGGCGGCAGGCCUAACACAUGCAAGUCGAACGAGUGGAGGACGGGUGAGUAAUGUCUGGGAAACUGCCCGAUGGAGGGGGCUAAAUACGGGAAACGGUAGCUAACACCGCAUACAAUCGGAUGAGACGAGAUGGUAUUAGCUAGUAGGUGGGGUAACGGCUCACGUAGGAGACGAUCCCUAGCUGGUCUGAGAGGAGGACCAGCCACACUGGAACUGAGACACGGUCGAGACGCCGACGGGAGGCAGCAGGGGGGAAUUUUGCACAAUGGGGGCAAGCCUGAUCCAGCCAUGCCGCGUGUAUGAAGAGGGCCUUCGGGUUGUAAACUACUUGCAGCGAGGAGGCGUUACUCGCAGAAGAAGCAUCGGCUAACUCCGUGCCAGCAGCCGCGGUAAUAC
rnacentral:rRNA from 1 species